rnacentral:rRNA from 1 species
CUUCUAGGAGAAGGGGAGCAGGGCAGCUUGGUCGCGUAAGCGACUCGGCUUUGCCGACUGCCCGAUGAGGGGAAACAGGCGUUUCCCCUCAUGGCUCGUUAGUGGCGGACGGGUGAGUAACGCGUUGGUACCUACCCUCUAGUGGGGAAUAACUGGCCGAAAGGUCAGCUAAUACCGCAUGAUAUCUUCGGAUUAAAGCAUUUAUGCGCUAGAGGAGGGGCCUGCGUCUGAUUAGCUUGUUGGUAGUGUAAUGGACUACCAAGGCGACGAUCAGUAGCUGGUUCGAGAGGAUGACCAGCCACACUGGGACUGAGAUACGGCCCAGACUCCUACGGGAGGCAGCAGUGAGGAAUCUUCCACAAUGGACGAAAGUCUGAUGGAGCAACGCCGCGUGCAGGAUGACGGCUUUCGGGUUGUAAACUGCUUUUAUAUGGGAAGAUUAUGACGGUACCAUAUGAAUAAGGGACCGGCUAACUACGUGCCAGCAGCCGCGGUAAUACGUAGGGUCCAAGCGUUAUCCGGAAUUACUGGGCAUAAAGCGUGUGUAGGCGGCGCGUUAAGUGCAACGCGAAAUCUUGCGGCUCAACCGUAUAGACUGUGUUGCAUACUGGCGUGCUUGAGGACGGCAGAGGCAAGUGGAAUUUGUAGUGUAGCAGUGAAAUGCGUAGAUAUUACAAGGAACACCAAUGGCGAAGGCAGCUUGCUGGGCCGUAUCUGACGCUGAGACACGAAAGCGUGGGGAGCGAACAGGAUUAGAUACCCUGGUAGUCCACGCCGUAAACGAUGCUUACUAAUAGUAUGGGGUAUCGACCCCCUGUGCUGUGAAGCUAAUGCGAUAAGUAAGCCGCCUGGGGAGUACGAGCGCAAGCUUAAAACUCAAAGGAAUUGACGGGGACCCGCACAAGCAGAGGAUGAUGUGGUUUAAUACGAUGCUACGCGUAGAACCUUACCCAGGUUUGACAUCCCAGGAAGGCGCUGGAAACAGUGCUGUGCCUUCGGGAACCUGGUGACAGAUGCUGCAUGGCCGUCGUCAGCUCGUGUCGUGAGAUGUUGGGUUAAGUCCCGCAACGAGCGCAACCCCUGUCGUAUGUUGUAUUUUUCAUACGAGACUGCCCGGGCCAACCGGGAGGAAGGUGGGGUCGAAGUCAGGUCAGCAUGGCUCUUACACCUGGGGCUACACACGUCAUACAAUGGCCAGUACAACGCGUUGCCAAAUCGUGAGAUGGAGCUAAUCGCACCAAAACUGGUCCCAGUUCGGAUUGUAGGCUGCAACUCGCCUGCAUGAAGUCGGAUUUGCUAGUAAACGUGGGUCAGCAUACCACGUUGAAUACGUUCCCGGGUCUUGUACACACCGCCCGUCACGUCAUGAAAGUCGGGGGCACCCGAAGUGCCUGUUUAACCAGGCCCUAAGGUGAACUCGGUAAUUGGGACG